ACGUCACCGGCUGCGCCCUUCAGUAUCGCGGACGGAAGAUGGCGUCCGCCACCCGUCUCAUCCAGCGGCUGCGGAACUGGGCGUCCGGGCUCUGCUGUAGCUGCCACUGAGAAGAAGGCGGUGACUCCAGCUCCUCCCAUAAAGAGGUGGGAGCUGUCCUCGGACCAGCCUUACCUGUGACACUGCACCCUCACGGCCACCCGACUACUUUGCCUCCUUGGAUUUCCUCCAGGGAGAAUGUGACCUAAUUUAUGACAAAUACGUAGAGCUCAGGUAUCACUUCUAGUUUUACUUUAAAAAAUAAAAAAAUAGAGACAGAGUCUCACCAUGUUUCC
rnacentral:lncRNA from 1 species